GACGAACGCUGGCGGCGUGCUUAACACAUGCAAGUCGAACGGAAAGGCCCUGCUUUUGUGGGGUGCUCGAGUGGCGAACGGGUGAGUAACACGUGAGUAACCUGCCCUUGACUUUGGGAUAACUUCAGGAAACUGGGGCUAAUACCGGAUAGGAGCUCCUGCUGCAUGGUGGGGGUUGGAAAGUUUCGGCGGUUGGGGAUGGACUCGCGGCUUAUCAGCUUGUUGGUGGGGUAGUGGCUUACCAAGGCUUUGACGGGUAGCCGGCCUGAGAGGGUGACCGGCCACAUUGGGACUGGGAUACGGCCCAGACUCCUACGGGAGGCAGGAGUGGGGGAUAUUGCACAAUGGGCGGAAGCCUGAUGCAGCAACGCCGCGUGCGGGAUGACGGCCUUCGGGUUGUAAACCGCUUUCGCCUGUGACGAAGCGUGAGUGACGGUAAUGGGUAAAGAAGCACCGGCUAACUACGUG
rnacentral:rRNA from 1 species